rnacentral:rRNA from 1 species
UUUCAAACUUGAGAGUUUGAUCCUGGCUCAGAACGAACGCUGGCGGCAGGCUUAACACAUGCAAGUCGAACGCUCCGCAAGGAGAGUGGCAGACGGGUGAGUAACGCGUGGGAAUCUACCUAGUUCUACGGAACAACAGAGGGAAACUUCUGCUAAUACCGUAUACGCCCUACGGGGGAAAGAUUUAUCGGAAUUAGAUGAGCCCGCGUAAGAUUAGCUAGUUGGUGGGGUAAUGGCCUACCAAGGCGACGAUCUUUAGCUGGUCUGAGAGGAUGAUCAGCCACACUGGGACUGAGACACGGCCCAGACUCCUACGGGAGGCAGCAGUGGGGAAUAUUGG